UUUUAGAUAAUUAUGGUGACUUGAAAGUUCAUAAUGCUUUAUAGGUUUCAUUUCAAGGCCGUACUGUUCUAGGCUUCGAUCAUAGGACCAAAGCUACCAUAAUUGCAAGCAUUCGAGCGUAAUCCAGCAUCAUCUUGCGAUACUUGGGCAUCCGUUGGUUGAGCAUUUAUUAGAAGAUUAAACUGAUUCUAAACAAUUUUUUUGAUGACUUUCACUUGAUGACAAUCUCUUCCUUGGAUUAUUCAGGAACUGAUGAACUGCGACAUGAAAUCAUUUCCUUCGCAAAAGAUUACAAGCGAUUUAAUGCCACAAAUUCGGUUGUCUUUGAAGGAUUUAGAAUUGCAAAAGGGAGAGGAAGAGAUGGAGAGACAGAUAAAUCGCAAAGAGAGCGCAAUGGAGAGGAAGAGAGACCUUACCUGUUCUGCUGCGGUGCCCUGAUGAAGGUGAUCGAUUUCAGAGCUUCCUUUCUUAGUUUUGUUAUAUUAAUCGAGAGAGGUAGGAGAAGGAAAUUGUUUUAACAUGUAACAUUGAAAAUCAUAUCAUAAACAUCAGCGCAAUCGCCAAUGGCGGGCGCGCGCUUAACCGCGCGACUGUUUGAGCGCGCCUCGCCAGCUCAAAUACUCGAUGUAAUUCCAAAGUUGAUCGUAGCAUUGACAAUUUUACAACACAAUAGAACAAUGAAAUACAAUGGUGUAGCACCAGUUCGUACCUGAACGAAAAAAAGCCCCCGUUCGUAAGCUAAUCGAUUCAGGAGCCUCUUCGUCCUCUGUGCGGAAUUUCUCUUUGCAGAUCCAUCGUCAUCGCCGGAAUUACUAUCCAGUAACCGCAAGCAUCUUACUUCUGCAAUACGAAAGAUUGUGCCCCUGGAAAUGAAAUGCCCAAAUUUGGUUGCGCAGCAGAGAAAACUGUACAAAAGAAGAACAAAACGACGGAUGUUUUUAAUGGUUGACCUAAUGAAGACGCCACUCAUAGAUGGAUGCGGCCGAGUGUGAGAAGAAUUGAAGGUCUGCUUGCCGCUGCCAUGGAUGCAGGUGUGGCUCAUACAGUAGCUCCCGUCCUACUUCGCCAACGACACUUUGUCCUGAUAGCAGCAAUUGGCGUUUAACAGGUACAUUAAUAUUUUACAUCGACCAUUCUUCACAUAAUUUCAUGUUCAUAAGAUUGUGAAUAUUGAUGAUAUCCACUUUCAGUAACUUGCAGCGUGAUUCCUCAAAUUAAGACUCAAUUAGUUUAAUUCUUUCAUAUCCAAACAAAGUUUAUGUUUCAGGCAGUGCUGCAUCAGGGAUGAUUCUCAGGUAAAAUGAUGAGGGGAGGAUAAUUGGAGUAAGGAUUACCUUGUAGAGAGGUGAAAAGGCUAUAUUUCUCAUCACACGAAGGAAACGGUAGCGGCUUGAUCGAUAGUAAAUGUUGAAGGGGCACACAAGUAAUAGCAAGAAAAGCUGUAACAUGAGGAAAAGAUUUCGAAAAUCACUUGCCGAAACUUGACUGAAUAAUUACAAGCCUCAGAGAUAGAGACAAAAGUACGCUUUCAUGUUGAGAAAUUACCAGCAAGAGAAGGCCAGGUAUCACUUGAACUUGAGUAAUAGAGUACCCUUUUGAAAGCAGUGCCAAAUGAACAAACAUUACCCCCAUAACAGCAGUCAUUGAAGUGGUACAAAUCAAGAACACAUCUCUGUAUUUAAGUUCCUUUGUGGCUGAUAACUCUAAAAUGAAGCUGUAAUUUAUUCGAGUCUUUCUCCAGGCAAAGAUGUUGCAGCCAUACAGAAAGAAAUGUAAGAACAUCAAGCUGAACAUGCUGCAAACAUGAUUCAUCUUGUUAGUUACCGUUCAUCGACAACGAAAACGAUUAAGAAAAGAUCUACAAAUACUUGCCUGAGUACUGGAUAUACAGUCUCCAUGUACAGUGAGAAAGGGUGCCUUUUGUACGUCCCCAUGAUAUGAGCCAUGAUAACAUAACCCACGAGUAGUGCAAUGAAACACCCACUGAACAGUCCUGUUCAUGGAAAAGAUUAUCUUUACUAACUUAUGCAUAAAUGGAAAGUUAUUAACGUUCGAACAGUUACUGUUUUUUAUGGUUAACAACUCUUGAGUGGAGUUCAAAUUUCAGCCUCAUUUGGUGAACCAGGGGACAAUUUCCUUUUUUGUCCAGUGUCCACCAAAAAUAGUGGAUUGAGCAAUGCCCUUUAGUUCAAAGUUAAGUGGUGUGAUGUGGCAGUGGCAGUGCUUUUGGAUUUGUUUGUUCAUCGAUGUCUUCAUGAAUGAUUGGUUAAUAGACGCUAAAGAUUGCAAGGAUUUGCUAGGCAAGAUCUCCUGAAAAUAAUGUGUUAAAGAACUCACCGACUAUGAACGUAAUGCCGUGUGACUCUUUACGCUGUUUUGGUCUAAGGUGACUGACAGACAACCAUAUCUGGCUCCAAAAUUUCAGAAUUUGAAGCUACAGUGCAGACAAGACCAACUAUGAGACCAAUGGCCACUUCACAUUGUCUGAGAACUUUCUGAAGGGAAGUUUUCAGCCGCUAAUGACCUAAAUCUAGACAUGAUCUAAUCAUAAAAUCAUGCAAAGAUGCUCUCUUUGUUUUAACUUUUUAAAGUUUUUGAUUUUCUAAUAAUUGUACUGAAUUUACCUUGUCUGAACUGUUGAAAUAGGAACUUUCCACAACUUUCAGAUAAAUGGCAAGAACUUGUUUUCCAGUGACCUGCAAAAAAGCAGGAUCUUGAUGAUUACAAGCAGGAUUUUCAGAGGCAAUGAUGAAGAAAUGAAUUAUCAGUGCAACAUUGUUACUUACUUUGUCAAACUUCUUCAAAAUCUUUAUGAAGGCAAGCUUGUUCAACUGCCUGAAGAAUGAUCUCACAGUGAUCAAAGAGACAUUAAAAAAACGAAACCUCAACAAUCUGUUCUUCAUUAUUACCUGAACUUGGCAGCCGAAACUUUUGCUUGCAUUUGAAACAAGGCAAGUUGAUGAAUUACCACCAGAAAUUGUAUAGGAGAUGGAGCCAUCCUCCUUGGAAUCCGGCGUGAUAUCUCUGGUCUGGCACCGGUGCUGGAUCGCCGUCUUCAGGUCAAUGAGAAUCUCCAGUUGUUUCUUCAAGCUCUCUCCCAACUCCAUGAACUCUGUCUCCUUUGUCUUGAAGAAUUGAUUCACCUUAUUCAGCUGGAAAUCCAAACAUGAAAAGAAUUCCUUUGCUGCAGCUGUAUCAGCAAAUUGUUCCAGCAGCUCUGUUUCGUACAUGUCUCCCUUGCUAACAGAGGAAGCAAGUUUCUUAUGAACCUGUUAGAAAAAGAUAUCAAAUUCAUGUUAUAUUACUACACACACAAAUACACAAUCAUGCAAAAUGGGGG